AUUAGGAUCUGCUACAUAAGCAAUUGGGCCCAUACCCCAAAAACGGUAAACACAUGCCUCCUAAUA
rnacentral:tRNA from 1 species